AGGACGAACGCUGGCGGCGUGCUUAACACAUGCAAGUCGAGCGGAAAGGCCCUUUCGGGGGUACUCGAGCGGCGAACGGGUGAGUAACACGUGAGUGACCUGCCCUGGACUUUUGGGAUAACCCUCGGAAACGGGGGCUAAAUACCGGAUAUGACAAUUCGCCGCAUGGUGUGGUUGUGGAAAGUUUUUCGGUCUGGGAUGGGCUCGCGGCCUAUCAGCUUGUUGGUGGGUGAUGGCCUACCAAGGCGACGACGGGUA
rnacentral:rRNA from 1 species